rnacentral:rRNA from 1 species
UGGGGAAUUUUUGGCAAUGGGGGAAACCCUGACCAAGCAACGCCGCGUGGGUGAUGAAGUAUCUCGGUACGUAAAACCCUUUCGACGGGGAAGAAAGCCGCAAGGCUUGACGGUACCCGUAGAAGAAGCCCCGGCUAACUCCGUGCCAGCAGCCGCGGUAAUACGGGGGGGGCAAGCGUUGUUCGGAAUUACUGGGCGUAAAGGGUGCGUAGGCGGUUCGCUAAGUUGGAUGUGAAAACUCUGGGCUCAACCCAGAGCCUGCAUCCAAUACUGACGAGCUAGAGUUCUGGAGGGGGUAGCGGAAUUCCUGGUGUAGCGGUGAAAUGCGUAGAUAUCAGGAGGAACACCGGUGGCGAAGGCGGCUACCUGGACAGAGUCUGACGCUGAGGCACGAAAGCUAGGGGAGCAAACAGGAUUAGAUACCCCCGUAGUCC